CAUUGGAUCCAGACUUUGAUUCUGGCUCAGGAUGAACGCUAGCUACAGGCUUAACACAUGCAAGUCGAGGGGAAACGACAUCGAAAGCUUGCUUUUGAUGGGCGUCGACCGGCGCACGGGUGAGUAACGCGUAUCCAACCUGCCCACCACUUGGGGAUAACCUUGCGAAAGUAAGACUAAUACCCAAUGAUAUCUCUAGAAGACAUCUGAAAGAGAUUAAAGAUUUAUCGGUGAUGGAUGGGGAUGCGUCUGAUUAGCUUGUUGGCGGGGUAACGGCCCACCAAGGCAACGAUCAGUAGGGGUUCUGAGAGGAAGGUCCCCCACAUUGGAACUGAGACACGGUCCAAACUCCUACGGGAGGCAGCAGUGAGGAAUAUUGGUCAAUGGACGAGAGUCUGAACCAGCCAAGUAGCGUGCAGGAUGACGGCCCUAUGGGCUGUAAACUGCUUUUAUAAGGGAAUAAAGUGAGUCUCGUGAGACUUUUUGCAUGUACCUUAUGAAUAAGGACCGGCUAAUUCCGUGCCAGCAGCCGCGGUAAUACGGAAGGUCCGGGCGUUAUCCGGAUUUAUUGGGUUUAAAGGGAGCGUAGGCCGGAGAUUAAGCGUGUUGUGAAAUGUAGACGCUCAACGUCUGCACUGCAGCGCGAACUGGUUUCCUUGAGUACGCACAAAGUGGGCGGAAUUCGUGGUGUAGCGGUGAAAUGCUUAGAUAUCACGAAGAACUCCGAUUGCGAAGGCAGCUCACUGGAGCGCAACUGACGCUGAAGCUCGAAAGUGCGGGUAUCGAACAGGAUUAGAUACCCUGGUAGUCCGCACGGUAAACGAUGGAUGCCCGCUGUUGGUCUGAAUAGGUCAGCGGCCAAGCGAAAGCAUUAAGCAUCCCACCUGGGGAGUACGCCGGCAACGGUGCAACUCAAAGGAAUUGACGGA
rnacentral:rRNA from 1 species